rnacentral:lncRNA from 1 species
GAAAAAUGUGUUACAUAGCACUACCCAGUCAGCAGCCCCGACGAACUGGAGCGGCCGCAUUGUAAGGCACGCUGACGCGGUGCCACACUAGCAAUUCACGUGCCUGUGAUCGGACGGUUUGGAUUUGUUCCUGUGCGUGUGGACGGUCCAGAUCUGUUCCCUCCUCAGGCACGAUUGGACAGUCACGAUUAAACGUGAUGAAUAACCCAUAUUCGCUCUCUCUUUAAACUUGAUCAUAUGGUCCAGAUCAAAUGCGAUAGACGACCCAGAUUAAAGGAAUACAGAUAUAAAUAUCUCACUUCACACCGAACCCCAACUUUAGCCACCAGCCCCCCGUUGGAGAAAAAGAACCAAUCGUCAGAGAAGAGAGCUGACCGAUACCCGCC